AAGUUACCUACAAUUUAUUUAUCUCUACACACACAUAAUAUGUUGCACAGUCAGUUUGCAUUUUUUCGAAGCAAUGCAAUGGCAAUAAAGCUAAAUACGCCAGCAUUAUCAACAUUGCCAAAUUGCUUGCGCGCUUUCCGGCUGUGGUGUGGUACGUACAUAUGCCAAAUGUGUCUGCAUCAGAUUUCUUGGCAUAUUGCGCCGGAAUUCGGCGCAAAAACAUUGAUCGCGAUAGAAAUUUAUACUAAACUAACGAUUGUUGUAACCAACCUAUUCGCAAACGAAACCCGACGUGUUAAAAUAUCGAAACACGUAGUAUUAAAUAAUAAAAAAAAAAACUCCGUCGACCUUGGCCCGCGUUGCGUCGUCGUUAUGUGUUGGUAGCUUGUGCACACUACUCGUGCGCGAAUUGACGAAAAGUACACACAACAAACAGCAAAAUACCGCACAAGUUGAAUAAAAAUCAAAAUUUUCUAUGUGUAUGUGGUGGCGUGAGUACAAUAAUUAGGAAAUAAUGAAAAUCACCUUGAUCGAAAACUUAAUUUUCCAAUUCGCUGUGCUGUAUCUACGCCGCAUUAGUCUUCAACGAAAUUCAUCUCGGGUCUUGUCAUCCGGGCUGCAUUUGUUGUUGCCUCGCAGCUGCGACGAAUGCACUUAAUCGUCCUGACUGCAGCAGGAUUUCCAUAUUGUACCCGCAACACAAUCAAACAACGUUAGCCGCGCUGCGCUGCGACGCACACCGUCAGACAGGUAGGCGGCGACUGACUGAGUUCGAAUUCGUCAACAUUGUUGAAAAAUAUUGCAAAAAUAUGCCCUGACUGUCGAAGUCAAUUCAGAAUGUUAGUCUACCAGCUCCAAUGUUGUUGGGUUGGUUGGUUAGCUGACAUUGGCGUAGUCGGCACGUAAAUAAAUAAUAUUUUGAUGUGAGCGCGCCUGCUGUCUUCGUUCGCUGGCACUGGUGCUGGUUGGUCGGUCGGUGCAGACGUGGCGGCGGUACUGGCGGUGUGUUACGCAAUGUCCAGGAGGCCCCGGUAAGGCGGCCGCGAAGCAGGAAUCGCAGGACGCGCAGGCGCCCGGCCCAACCUUGGCAUUGAACUUGGAUGCGUCGCACACGUACGCCGCGGCAGCAGUAGGCGCACACAGCACACAACUUUGAAGCUGAUUUAGCGCGCACUGCUAGCUGGCGCGAUGCUGCUAUUCCCCUGCUCCUGCCUUCGACAUUGAUGUCCGGCCGCGGCUGGCUUUCGCUACGUCCGUGAAUGCAACAUUGCAGUCAUCAUCAUCAUCAUUGCACCACGACCGGCACAAAUACCUGCACUUUUGCAGCAUGCACUCCUCUGCUGCUAGAUGUACUCGCUCUAAAAUGUGCAUUCCGGCGCGUUUUCUCGUUCAUCGGCGCCGGCAGGUUUCCAUUCGCGAGUCGGCGCGCCGCGUUGGCUCGUCACGUCACUGACCUAGAUUACAGUAACGACGUUAGGCCCUUUCUCGACUGCGCGCCGCUGUCCGCCAGCCUGCCCGCUUGCAGCGUUGCUCCAGCGUGGUGCUCGACUUUUAUCGAAAUGCGUCGCGACUGCUAAAUGGACAUGCUGCCGACAGAAAAAAGGAACGACCUAUCGGAAAAUCCCAUCGACAACCAUCCACGGUUCAUACGAAAUUAUUUGGCGCAGUACCGGAUACUACUUACGGCAUCACAGACAUUUCAAUAAAAUUAUUAAAUUAGUGAAUAGACCUCAUCACAGCGUUGACGCACUACAAGCAAUAAUGGCAGAGCAUCACCCAGUGGCGAUGUGACCUAAAUAUGUAUUUAUUCACCUUUAACCUUUGUCAGUGCGCGCCUAUAAUGCCAAACUCACCCUGUCAACGACAAUGUAUUUAGGUACUCCAAAAAACACAACACGCUUUAAAUCCGAGAAUAUUAGAUUUUCUAUAAAUGUAUUUUAAAACGAAAUUCAAAAAAUAUGCGAACUGAAUAAAGUUAUUCGGCUA